UCUGAACACUUCACAUAACAUUGCAAUAAGAGGACAAAGUAAACAGAGGUUAGUUCAAUUGGAGGAGCAAAUUCAAAAGCAAGGAAUGAAUAAAUUACCUGUGCACACAUCCAUGCUCCAGUCAUCUUCAAAGAAAGAUCUUAACACUUUACGUAUGAGUGGAAGAAAACAAGGUGAAGGAGAGAAACAACUUGAUAUUCAGGAGCAACAAAGCUGUAAAAAGGUAAAGACAAACUCGGUCCUACCGUCGACGAGUAUAAAUCAAUUUCUAAAAAAAUAUGGGAUACACGUUGGUGGUGAAAAUUCUCCUAAUAUCCAACCAGUAGAUGAAGUCAGAUUUAUGUCAUCCCCUGUUGUUGAUGAGCAUGAAAUAGAAAUGGAUAAUUUUGAUGCACAAGCAGGAGUUGGUGACGAUGAGUUUGUUAGAGAUGAGGAUGUAAACAUUGAUAGUGCUGCAGAUGGGAUAUUAGAGAAGAAAAGAGUUCGAGGGCAAGCGACAUGUAAGAAUAUUCAUGCAAGAAGUUUUGAAGAAAGAGAGGAGGUGAUAUUUGACAAAGGACAAGCAGUGGGACCAACUGACAAGAGAAUGUCUGAUUUGACUAACUUUAUAGGAACAAUUGCAAGAAAUCCAAGAUUUAUCACCUUGGUGCAUACUAGUUGGCAUGCUGUGUCACAGGAUAUUAAGCGACGAAUGUGGGAAUAUGUCAAUUCCAAGUUCAUAAUUCCAGCAGAAGGAGAGAAGUGGGUAAUGACCGGUCUUCGUGAUGCUUGGAGGAGACACAAGAGAAAUAUUAAGAUGAAAUAUUUCAAUAAGAAUGCUACUGACGAAGACAUGCUACAAAAUCAUCCGAAUGAGAUACCAGAAGUUCAAUUUCGCCAAUUGAUUGAGUAUUGGAAGGAUUCAGAUGUCCAAGCCAUGUGCCAAUUAAAUUCUGAAAAUAGAAAAAAAAAAAAGUGGAGGCAUCGAAUGGGACCUAUUAAUUUUGGAAGAAUACGCGUAGCAUUGCGUGCAACCAAAGAGAACAACGAGGAACCAUCAAAGUCCGAAAUGCUUAUUGCAACUCGUACAAAGAAAGGAAAAGAAGUUCAUACAGAUACUCAAGUUGCAAUAAGUCUGAACUUCAGAAUUGUCAAAGUUCCGGAGAGACAGCAGAUGAUGCAUUUAGGGCUGUGGUUGGAAAGGAGCAGCCUGGUCGGGUUAGAUGCUAUGGCAUAUCGGUGACGACAAGCUCUCUGAAAAAAGAUGAAGAAAUCACCAAGCUUAAACAAAAACAUGCCAAUGAAAUGACUUCUCUGAAACAAGAAAUGAAGGAAAUGUUGAGAGAAGAAAUGCAAUCUUUUCUUAGUCAAGUGGUGCAAAACAACAAUGAACUGAAUUUUCAUGACAUACAAGGAUGUGCUAGAUCUAAUAUUCCUUCACCGGUUGAUGCAAGUAGUGCACGAGCUAUAAGAGGCCAAAAUCUACCACAUUCUUCUGGCUCAACUCAUGCUCCGAAUCUUGAAAAGGAAAAUGCGGAUGAUGUAAUUGGAAAUGGUGGCCACAAAUAAAUUUGACCUAUUGACGCGAAUGAUGAAGACUUUUUGAACGAUAGUGACGUUUAUUGUUAUAAAAACAUUCGGUUUUGAAUAGUUCAUUGCUAGUGAACUUCUUGAAGUAGUAGUGCUUUAUUAGUAUGGGUAUAGUACUAUGCAAAUUAUAUUUUUUGUUGAAGUUUAUUUCAAGUAUAUGUAUUUGAAUUAUUUUUA